rnacentral:lncRNA from 1 species
AUGGAGCAGGGCUGGGAAUGCAGCACUGCUGGGAAUGCAGCACUGCUGGGAGUGCAGCACUGCUGGGAAUGCAGCACUGCUGGGGAUGCAGCACUGCUGGGAGUGCAGCACUGCUGGGAGUGCAGCCCGAGCCGGGAGUGCAGCCCGCGCUGGCUGAGCGUGGAUGAAAUCCCGGUGGGAUGCAGCUGGAGCAGGAGCAGCGCAGGGCAGGCGGUGGCACACGGAGCUCCUGCAGGGAGCGGAACACAGCACGGAGCAGGAGGCCACAGGCAGCUUCCCACGGCACAGGGCAGCAGCAGCUCAGAGCAGGGUGCCAGGGGCAGAUCGCCCUGGCACAGCAGCAGCAGCACCAGCACAGAGCAGGGUGCCAGGGGCAGAUCUCCCUGGCAGGAGCAGCAGGAGCAGCACUGGCACAAACCCUGGCACAGAGCAGUGCAGCCCAGGGUGCCAGAGCCAGUUUCCUAUGGCACAGCAGGAGCAGCACAGAGCAGGAUGCCAGAGGUGGUUUUCCCUGGCACAGCAGGAGCAGCACCAGCACAGAGCAGCAUUUCAGAGCCAGCUCUCCCANNNNNNNNNNNNNNNNNNNNGCUCUCCCAAGGAUUUCAGAGCCAUCUCUCCCAGGAGCAGGAUUUCAGAGCCAGCUCUCCCAAGGAUUUCAGAGCCAUCUUUCCCAAGGAUUUCAGAGCCAGCUUUCCCAGGAGCAGCCCCACACGGCUCUUGCACAGGGACAAUUCCUGUUUGCAGCUCUCUCCCCGUGUGCCCCUGGCAAAGGGCAGCCCUGGGGUGGUGCCAGCGGCCGUGCCCCAUCUCCAGGCCAGGCAGGAGCAGGCACCAGGGCUCUCUCCUGAGGGUGCCCAGAGAUUCUGGAAGGCUGCAGGGGGAACGUGACGAGGAUUCUGAGGAGCAUCAGUGAGAUUCCUGUGGUGGGUCGGGGAUUCCUCCUGGAGCCAGGUGCAGCUCCCACGGUCCCAGUUCACGGGAGGGCUCUGGGCACAGGCAGCACGCUGGGGACCUCAGACCCGGAGGAUUUCGGGGCUUGGGGCGGAAUGUGGCCGGUGGGACGCUCCACGGGGCUCUCGCAGCCUGCUCCUCCCCUCAGCAAGGAGCACCCCCGAUGGCAAAGAGGGAGAAAUCAGCUGGGGACCUGCAGGAGAGGGGCUGAUUUCCCAGAGGGAACGGAUCCGCCCGGGGGCUCCUGCAGCAGCUCCCACCCACCCCUGGGAAGGGGCUGCCGGGGGUGCAGCCCCGUCCCCGACAGCCCCUCGGAGCAGGACCAGGGCACGUCCUGGGACGGAGCUGCCGGGCUCGGCCGAGUCUUCUGCCAGCUGCUGCCUGCCCAGAGCGGGGCUGGGCCCCCCGA